ACAGUACCGCGAGGGAAAGGUGAAAAGAACCCCUGCAAGGGGAGUGAAAGAGAACCUGAAACCAUGGAUCUACAAGCCAGUGGAAGGACUAUUAAAAAGUCCGACUGCGUGCCUCUUGGAAAAUGAGCCAGGGAGUUGCGGUAUGCGGCAAGCUUAAGCCGAUAGGCGAAGGCGUAGGGAAACCAAGUCCGAAUUAGGGCGCUAUUAGUCGCAUGCUGCAGACGCGAAGCGGAACGAUCUAUCCAUGCCCAAGGUGAAGGACGGGUAACACCGUCUGGAGGCCUGAACCAAUCGGUGCUGCAACACAGUUGGAUGAGGUGUGGAUAGGGGUGAAAAGCCAAUCGCGUUCCGUGAUAGCUCGUUCUCCCCGAAAUGCAUCGACGUGCAGCGUCAAGCGUUUCCCUCGGGAGGUAGAGAUACUGAUUGGGCUAGGGCCCCGAAAGGGGUACCGAACCCAACCAAACUCCGAAUGCCCGAGAGGAUAGCUUGGCAGUGAGACUACGGGGGAUCAGCUCCGUAGUCGAGAGGGAAACAACCCAGACCGCCAGCUAAGGUCCCAAAGUGCAUGCUAAGUGGAGAAGGAUGUAAAGCCUCGAAGACAGCGAGGAGGUUGGCUUAGAGGCAGCCAUCCUUUAAAGAGUGCGUAACAGCUCACUCGUCGAGAGGCUUUGCGCCGAAAAUUUAACGGGGCUAAGCAUGCCACCGAAGCUGCGGGCUUGCUUUAACAGCAAGCGGUAGGGGAGCGUUCCCUGCGGGCUGAAGUCUCACCGUAAGGAGGGAUGGACUGCAGGGAAGUGAGAAUCCUGGUAUGAGUAGCAGCGAAGACAGGUGAGAAACCUGUCCGCCGGAACUCCAAGGGUUCCAAUCCAAUGUAAAUCAGGAUUGGGUUAGUCGGUACCCUAAGGCGAGGGCGAAAGCAGUAGCCGAUGGGAAGCAGGUUAAUAUUCCUGCACCAGCUGUCUGGAGACCAAGGCACGACGCAGGAGGAUAGCACCAGGGGAGAUUUGGAUCGCUCCCUUUAAGCGUCCGAGGGUGAGGAAUAGGCAAAUCCGUUCCUCAUACAAGCCCAAGGCGUGAUGAGGAGGCUAAGCCUUGUGCUUAGCCAACUGGUGUGACUUCAGACUGCCAAGAAAUAGUGUCGUGGUCGUCGAAGGAUGGCUGACCGUACCGGAAACCGACACAGGUGGAGUGGGUUAGCAGCCUAAGGCGCUUCGGGGUAACUCUCCUCAAGGAACUCGGCAAACUGACCCCGUACCUUCGGAAUAAGGGGUGCCCACCGCAAGGUGGGUCGCAGAAACCAGGUCCAGGCGACUGUUUACCAAAAACACAGCACUGCGCAAACUCGAAAGAGGACGUAUGCAGUGUGAAACCUGCCCAGUGCCCGUAGGUUAAGGGGAGGGGUGAUGAGCCCCAAACCGAAGCCCGGGUAAACGGCGGCCGUAACUAUAACGGUCCUAAGGUAGCGAAAUUCCUUGUCGGGUAAGUUCCGACCUGCAUGAAUGGUCCAACGAUCUGGACGCUGUCUCGAGGAGAGUCCCGGUGAAAUUGUAGUGCCCGG
rnacentral:rRNA from 1 species